UACGGAGGGGGCUAGCGUUGUUCGGAAUUACUGGGCGUAAAGCGCGCGUAGGCGGAUCUGCAAGUCGGGGGUGAAAUCCCGAGGCUCAACCUCGGAACUGCCUUCGAUACUGCGGGUCUCGAGUCCGGGAGAGGUGAGUGGAAUUCCUAGUGUAGAGGUGAAAUUCGUAGAUAUUCGCAAGAACACCAGUGGCGAAGGCGGCUCACUGGCCCGUUACUGACGCUGAGGCACGAAAGCGUGGGGAGCAAACAGG
rnacentral:rRNA from 1 species